UCUCCACAGAUCGAAGAAGUAGGAUGGAUUGGUGUAGAACUUCAGACCCUCCUUUCCAUCGUCCCUGUGGACGGUUAAAGGAGACACUCAUUUCACUUUGAGGUCCUUAUGUGCCCGGCGAUCAUUUGAUAAAGCAGAGCUACGAUGGCGACGACGACAGGGAGGGAAACAAAAGAAGACGACGCGUGGGAGUGGAAGCAGACUAAUGUACCUGAAGAUCAAAGUGGGUUGGCAUCAUGCUGGUCUCGGAGAAAAACUGCGGCAAUUUAGGGGAUACUCGCAGUUUUCAGUGGCAUGAUGUUUUCAUUUUAAAAUGGAACAACAGCACUCCAUCAUCACAAGCCCACUCUGGUCAGUACAUUUCCACACACAACUAUCCUAAUGUCCUAUACAAGCACUUUUUGUGUGUCCGCUUCCACUAAUCUAGAUGGCGAAAUGCCGCCAUGACGCAUUUUUUGGUUGACCUAUUAAAACAACAUUAGCUGGUAGCUGGUAAAGUGUCUUUCUACCAUCCAUUAAAUUCAAAAUAUUGACUUUUUUAAGAUGAUGUUGUAUUCUUCUGUGUAUCAGCUUCUUCUAUUAUUACUGGUUUGACUCCCAGACGCUUGAUCUGGGUGUGUACCAUGUUGACAUGCAUAGAUUCAGACCUGUAGGGCGUGAGGAUGUUGAGCGGUGGCGGCUGCUCGCAAGUGUGGAAGGUCUCCUGCAGUGGGAUGGGCAGCGACGUGCGGUCGAAAAGCUGC